AGCCCAGGGAAACUUGGAUUAAUGCCCCGUAGUACCGUGGCCCGGCAUCGGGAUACGGUUAAAGCCUUCGGGCGGUACAAGAUGGCCAUGCGUCCCAUUAGCUAGUUGGUAAGGUAACGGCUUACCAAGGCUACGAUGGGUAGGGGCCCUGAGAGGGGGAUCCCCCACACUGGUACUGAGACACGGACCAGACUCCUACGGGAGGCAGCAGUGAGGAAUAUUGGACAAUGGAGGAGACUCUGAUCCAGCCAUGCCGCGUGCAGGAAGAAUGCCCUAUGGGUAGUAAACUGCUUUUAUACGGGAAGAAAAAGAGCUACGUGUAGCUUACUGACGGUACCGUAAGAAUAAGGACCGGCUAACUCCGUGCCAGCAGCCGCGGUAAUACGGAGGGUCCGAGCGUUAUCCGGAAUUAUUGGGUUUAAAGGGUCCGUAGGCGGGCCGAUAAGUCAGGGGUGAAAGUCUGCCGCUCAACGGUAGAACUGCCUUUGAUACUGUCGGUCUUGAGUUAUAGUGAAGUUGCCGGAAUAUGUAGUGUAGCGGUGAAAUGCAUAGAUAUUACAUAGAACACCGAUUGCGAAGGCAGGUGACUAACUAUAUACUGACGCUGAUGGACGAAAGCGUGGGGAGCGAACAGGAUUAGAUACCCUGGUAGUCCACGCCGUAAACGAUGGAUACUAGCUGUCCGGAACCUUGAGUUCUGGGCGGCCAAGCGAAAGUGAUAAGUAUCCCACCUGGGGAGUACGUUCGCAAGAAUGAAACUCAAGG
rnacentral:rRNA from 1 species